rnacentral:rRNA from 1 species
AUUGAACGCUGGCGGAAUGCUUUACACAUGCAAGUCGAACGGCAGAACGGGGGCAGCCCUGGUGGCGAGUGGCGAACGGGUGAGUAAUACAUCGGAACGUGCCCGGUCGUGGGGGAUAACGUAGCGAAAGUUACGCUAAUACCGCAUACGAUCUGAGGAUGAAAGCGGGGGACCUUCGGGCCUCGCGCGAUCGGAGCGGCCGAUGUCAGAUUAGGUAGUUGGUGGGGUAAAGGCCUACCAAGCCGACGAUCUGUAGCUGGUCUGAGAGGACGACCAGCCACACUGGGACUGAGACACGGCCCAGACUCCUACGGGAGGCAGCAGUGGGGAAUUUUGGACAAUGGGCGCAAGCCUGAUCCAGCCAUGCCGCGUGCAGGACGAAGGCCUUCGGGUUGUAAACUGCUUUUGUACGGAACGAAAAGGCUCUGGCUAAUACCUUGGGCUCAUGACGGUACCGUAAGAAUAAGCACCGGCUAACUACGUG